rnacentral:rRNA from 1 species
AUUGAACGCUGGCGGCAGGCAUAACACAUGCAAGUCGAACGAGUGGCGGACGGGUGCGUAAUUUAUGGUAAAAUGCUUGAUGGAGGGGGCUAACUACUGGAUACGGUUUCUACAACCCCAUACCAUAGGAUGUCCCCAUGUGGUAUUAGCUAGUAGGUGGGGUAAAGGCUCACCUAGGCGACGAACCCUCGCAGGUCUGAGAGGAUGACCAGCCACACUGGAACUGAGACACGGUCCAGACUCCUACGGGAGGCAGCAGUGGGGAAUAUUGCACAAUGGGCGCAAGCCUGAUGCAGCCAUGCCGCGUGUAUGAAGAAGGCCUUCGGGUUGUAAAGUACUUUCAGCGGGGAGGCGUUACCCGCAGAAGAAGCACCGGCUAACUCCGUGCCAGCAGCCGCGGUAAUAC